rnacentral:tRNA from 1 species
UCAGGGUGUGGCUGAGUUAGCUAAGCAUCUCACUUACACCGAGAAGACAUCCAUGCAAGUUGGAUCGCCCUGAGCCA